rnacentral:rRNA from 1 species
UGGGAGUCAGACUCCACCCAUGUGACUUACCAUUGUUGCCUCGGCAGAAGCUGCUCGGUGCACCUUACCCUGGAACGGCCUACCCUGUAGCGCCUUACCCUGGAACGGCCUACCCUGUAGCGGCUGCCGGUGGACUACCAAACUCUUGUUAUUUUAUUGUAAUCUGAGCGUCUUAUUUUAAUAAGUCAAAACUUUCAACAACGGAUCUCUUGGUUCUGGCAUCGAUGAAGAACGCAGCGAAAUGCGAUAAGUAAUGUGAAUUGCAGAAUUCAGUGAAUCAUCGAAUCUUUGAACGCACAUUGCGCCCAUUAGUAUUCUAGUGGGCAUGCCUGUUCGAGCGUCAUUUCAACCCUUAAGCCUAGCUUAGUGUUGGGAGCCUACUGCUUUUACUAGCUGUAGCUCCUGAAAUACAACGGCGGAUCUGCGAUAUCCUCUGAGCGUAGUAAAUUUUUAUCUCGCUUUUGACUGGAGUUGCAGCGUCUUUAGCCGCUAAAUCCCCCAAUUU